rnacentral:rRNA from 1 species
GACGAACGCUGGCGGCGUGCCUAAUACAUGCAAGUUGAACGAACUCUGGUAAUGAUUGGUGCUUGCAUCAUGAAUUACAUUUGAGUGAGUGGCGAACUGGUGAGUAACACGUGGGAAACCUGCCCAGAAGCGGGGGAUAACACCUGGAAACAGAUGCUAAUACCGCAUAACAACUUGGACCGCAUGGUCCGAGUUUGAAAGAUGGCUUCGGCUAUCACUUUUGGAUGGUCCCGCGGCGUAUUAGCUAGAUGGUGAGGUAACGGCUCACCAUGGAAAUGAUAGUUAGCCGACCUGAGAGGGUAAUCGGCCACAUUGGGACUGAGACACGGCCCAAACUCCUAGGGGAGGCAGCAGUAGGGAAUCUUCCACAAUGGACGAAAGUCUGAUGGAGCAACGCCGCGUGAGUGAAGAAGGGUUUCGGCUCGUAAAACUCUGUUGUUAAAGAAGAACAUAUCUGAGAGUAACUGUUCAGGUAUUGACGGUAUUUAACCAGAAAGCCACGGCUAACUACGUGCCAGCCGCCGCAGUAA